UACGUAGGGGGCCAGCGUUGUCCGGAUUUAUUGGGCGUAAAGAGCGUGUAGGCGGCCAGGUAGGUCUGGUGUGAAAACUCGAGGCUCAACCUCGAGAUGUCAUCGGAAACCAUCUGGCUAGAGUGCGGAAGAGGCGAGUGGAAUUCCUGGUGUAGCGGUGAAAUGCGCAGAUAUCAGGAGGAACACCUAUUGCGAAGGCAGCUCGCUGGGACGUAACUGACGCUGAGACGCGAAAGCGUGGGGAGCAAACAGG
rnacentral:rRNA from 1 species